rnacentral:rRNA from 1 species
UACGAAGGGGGCUAGCGUUGUUCGGAAUCACUGGGCGUAAAGCGCACGUAGGCGGAUUGUUAAGUCGGGGGUGAAAUCCUGAGGCUCAACCUCAGAACUGCCUUCGAUACUGGCAAUCUCGAGUCCGGAAGAGGUUGGUGGAACAGCUAGUGUAGAGGUGAAAUUCGUAGAUAUUAGCUAGAACACCAGUGGCGAAGGCGGCCAACUGGUCCGGUACUGACGCUGAGGUGCCGAAAGCG